GGUCAAGCGAACAAGUGCAUGUGGUGGAUGCCUUGGCGAUCACAGGCGAUGAAGGACGCGGUAGCCUGCGAAAAGCUACGGGGAGCUGGCAAACGAGCUUUGAUCCGUAGAUGUCCGAAUGGGGAAACCCACUCCUUUUGGAGUAUCCAUGGCUGAAUACAUAGGCCAUGUGAAGCGAACGCGGUGAACUGAAACAUCUAAGUAACCGCAGGAAAAGAAAUCAACCGAGAUUCCCAAAGUAGUGGCGAGCGAAAUGGGAUGAGCCUUGCACUCUUUAUUUGUAUUGUUAGCCGAACGCUCUGGAAAGUGCGGCCAUAGCAGGUGAUAGCCCUGUAGGCGAAAACAGUAUGAAAGAACUAGGUGUGCGACAAGUAGGGCGGGACACGUGAAAUCCUGUCUGAAGAUGGGGGGACCAUCCUCCAAGGCUAAAUACUCGUGAUCGACCGAUAGUGAACCAGUACCGUGAGGGAAAGGCGAAAAGAACCCCGGGAGGGGAGUGAAAUAGAUCCUGAAACCGCAUGCAUACAAACAGUCGGAGCCUCGUAAGGGGUGACGGCGUACCUUUUGUAUAAUGGGUCAGCGACUUACGUUCAGUAGCAAGCUUAACCGUAUAGGGCAGGCGUAGCGAAAGCGAGUCCGAAUAGGGCGUUCAGUUGCUGGGCGUAGACCCGAAACCAGGUGAUCUAUCCAUGGCCAGGAUGAAGGUGCGGUAACACGUACUGGAGGUCCGAACCCACUAACGUUGAAAAGUUAGGGGAUGAGCUGUGGAUAGGGGUGAAAGGCUAAACAAACCUGGAAAUAGCUGGUUCUCUCCGAAAACUAUUUAGGUAGUGCCUCGUGUCUCACCUUCGGGGGUAGAGCACUGUCAUGGUUGGGGGGUCUAUUGCAGAUUACCCCGCCAUAGCAAACUCCGAAUACCGAAGAGUGCAAUCACGGGAGACAGACAUCGGGUGCUAACGUCCGGUGUCAAGAGGGAAACAACCCAGACCGCCAGCUAAGGUCCCCAAAUAUAGCUAAGUGGGAAACGAAGUGGGAAGGCUAAAACAGUCAGGAGGUUGGCUUAGAAGCAGCCACCCUUUAAAGAAAGCGUAAUAGCUCACUGAUCGAGUCGUCCUGCGCGGAAGAUGUAACGGGGCUAAGCUAUAUACCGAAGCUGCGGAUGCGUGCUUAGCACGCAUGGUAGGAGAGCGUUCCGUAAGCCUGCGAAGGUGCCUUGUAAAGGGUGCUGGAGGUAUCGGAAGUGCGAAUGCUGACAUGAGUAGCGAUAAAGGGGGUGAAAGGCCCCCUCGCCGUAAGCCCAAGGUUUCCUACGCAACGUUCAUCGGCGUAGGGUGAGUCGGCCCCUAAGGCGAGGCAGAAAUGCGUAGCUGAUGGGAAGCAGGUCAAUAUUCCUGCACCAUUGUUAGAUGCGAUGGGGGGACGGAUCGCGGAAGGUUGUCCGGGUGUUGGAAGUCCCGGUCGCUGCAUUGGAGAAGGCGCUUAGGCAAAUCCGGGCGCGUAAUUCAAGGGUGUGGCGCGAGCUCCCUAGGGAGCGAAGCAAUUGGAAGUGGUUCCAAGAAAAGCCUCUAAGCUUCAGUCUAACGAUGACCGUACCGCAAACCGACACAGGUGGGCGAGAUGAGUAUUCUAAGGCGCUUGAGAGAACUCGGGAGAAGGAACUCGGCAAAUUGGUACCGUAACUUCGGGAUAAGGUACGCCCUUGUAGCUUGACUGGCCUGCGCCAGGAGGGUGAAGGGGUUGCAAUAAACUGGUGGCUGCGACUGUUUAAUAAAAACACAGCACUCUGCAAACACGAAAGUGGACGUAUAGGGUGUGACGCCUGCCCGGUGCCGGAAGAUUAAAUGAUGGGGUGCAAGCUCUUGAUUGAAGUCCCGGUAAACGGCGGCCGUAACUAUAACGGUCCUAAGGUAGCGAAAUUCCUUGUCGGGUAAGUUCCGACCUGCACGAAUGGCGUAACGAUGGCCACACUGUCUCCUCCCGAGACUCAGCGAAGUUGAAGUGUUUGUGAUGAUGCAAUCUACCCGCGGCUAGACGGAAAGACCCCAUGAACCUUUACUGUAGCUUUGCAUUGGACUUUGAACCGAUCUGUGUAGGAUAGGUGGGAGGCUAUGAAACCGGAACGCUAGUUUCGGUGGAGCCGUCCUUGAAAUACCACCCUGGUUUGUUUGAGGUUCUAACCUUGGCCCGUGAUCCGGGUCGGGGACAGUGCAUGGUAGGCAGUUUGACUGGGGCGGUCUCCUCCCAAAGCGUAACGGAGGAGUACGAAGGUACGCUAGGUACGGUCGGAAAUCGUGCUGAUAGUGCAAUGGCAUAAGCGUGCUUAACUGCGAGACCGACAAGUCGAGCAGGUGCGAAAGCAGGUCAUAGUGAUCCGGUGGUUCUGUAUGGAAGGGCCAUCGCUCAACGGAUAAAAGGUACUCUGGGGAUAACAGGCUGAUACCGCCCAAGAGUUCAUAUCGACGGCGGUGUUUGGCACCUCGAUGUCGGCUCAUCUCAUCCUGGGGCUGUAGCCGGUCCCAAGGGUAUGGCUGUUCGCCAUUUAAAGAGGUACGUGAGCUGGGUUUAAAACGUCGUGAGACAGUUUGGUCCCUAUCUGCCGUGGGCGUUGGAUAUUUGAAGGGGGCUGCUCCUAGUACGAGAGGACCGGAGUGGACGAACCUCUGGUGUACCGGUUGUCACGCCAGUGGCAUCGCCGGGUAGCUAUGUUCGGAAGAGAUAACCGCUGAAAGCAUCUAAGCGGGAAACUCGCCUUAAGAUGAGAUAUCCCUGG
rnacentral:rRNA from 1 species